UGAAUAUAUAUACUUCAGGGAACAAAUUGACUCGCAUUACUCAUGGAUUUCACUGCAUUUUCACUGCAUUUUGUGUGCCUGGCAUUGUCCUUUGUCACAAGUUUCGCCAUUCUACUGCGUGGCCUAAAUGUUUGCAGUCAUCCGGAAAGAGUUCCGUAUAACCAAAGGGUUCUUAAAAGUAAAUUGGUUCCGUUUCAACAGCAUUCAUACUUUCAUGGUUGGGUUACUAAGUACAGGCAUCAAUAUGUCUAUGAAGAUGAGACUGCCUACAUGACUGUAAUGAGACCCAGAUGCUGUGAAGGCUACGAAGGAUCAGUUGAUAACUGCAAACCUGUCUGCAGUCAACAGUGUCCUCAACAUGGAUUCUGCUCGUCCCCCAAUACUUGCAGUUGCAACACGGGCUACAGCGGUUUAGACUGCCAUCCCGUUUGCCCAACGGAAUGUGGUAAAAACGAGUUUUGCGAUCGCCCCGGAGUCUGUAGCUGCCUAAAUGGCUACAGUCGAACUUCUCCCAGCGACAAUUGCCUUCCUGUUUGCGAAGAGGAAUGUGGACACCAUAGCUUUUGCUCGGAGCCCGGGAAAUGCGAAUGUGAACCUGGGUACGAGAAACUGGGAAACGGCACCACCUGCCAUCCAGUUUGUUCACCCGAGUGUGCGGAAAACGCUCGAUGCCAGGAGCCACAAGUUUGCAUCUGUCUAGAUGGAUACGAGGACGAUUCAAAUGGCAAUUGCUCGCCCAUUUGCCAGAAGAAUUGUGGCCAAAACAGCCGAUGUGUGAGGCCAGGUGUGUGCGAGUGUGAAAAUGGAUAUACGGGUGACGACGGUGGCACCAAUUGCCAACCCGUGUGCUCCACUUGCCCGGAGAACGGAUUAUGCUUGAGUCCCGGCGUUUGUGUCUGCAAGCCGGGUUACGUAAUGAGAAAUGAUCUCUGCCAGCCGCAUUGCGAAAACUGCUCGGAUUCCGCACACUGCGUGGCGCCCAACCAAUGCGAGUGCCUUCCGGGCUUUGAGUCGUCGGGGGCGGACCAGGAGUGCAAACCCAAGUGCAGCAAAGGAUGUACCAACGGCUUUUGCUUUGCACCGGAGACGUGUGUUUGCAGUAUUGGCUAUCAAAUGGGUCCCAAUCAAGUUUGUGAGCCACAAUGCAGCCUAAACUGUGUUCAUGGCAAGUGCACCAGCCCAGAAACCUGCACCUGCGAUCCGGGUUAUCGCUUCAAGGACAACUCCCAUCACGAAUGCGAUCCGAUUUGCGACAGUGGCUGCAGCAACGGAGAAUGUAUGGCACCCAAUAUUUGUAUAUGCCACGGGGGCUAUCAUCCCAAUAGCACAAAUCCUGUCACUUCUAUGUGUCAGCCGGUCUGCGAAGACUGCCAAUUCGGAGACUGUGUGGCACCGAAUGUGUGCGAGUGCAACGUGGGCUAUGCGAAUAUCAACGGAGUAUGCGAGUUACAAACCACGACGGACUCCCAUGAAUACAGCACCACAACUGCUGAGCUCCAAACAUCAACUGCAGAGCCUGAAAUUCAGACACCAACCAGCGAGGUUCCCCACAUAAAUUGCACUGCCGGUUGCAUGUGCUGGAUUGAAUACGAUGGGAUGGGUACUUUCAAUACGGCCAAGUGUGCUAAGAUCUGCGCCGACCCCCAGGACAAGCCGUGCCUCAAUUUGGACAAUUGCCAUUGCGAUUUAUCGAGUGGUCAGCUGGUGUGCCAAGAGGAUAGUGACGCGGAUUACAGCGGGGAGAAUUCGCGUUACGUCUGUCAUAUUUCGCCAGCGAAGAGAGCAAGAUCAGAAGCCGAGGUACGGAUUCCUGACCGAACUGAAUCGUCCGCCAAGUUUAUGAUUAUCAUAGGCUCCUGCGCUGGAAUGAUCCUUGGUGUGGCCGCCACAAUCAUUGGCACGAAGUACUAUCGACGUUCUACCUCCAGACAAAAUUUCGAAGCCGAACAAGCCAUCUAUGAAUGUGAUUUUGAAUAGUUUUAAUCCACACAAAAUCACUUAUCCUUUCAAAAUCGGUUGUAAAAUUGUUAAAUUACUAUCAGUAAAAUAUCAACAUGAAACGUUUAAAAAUAACAAAGAAAAGAGAUUGAGUCACACUAGCUACAAAUCAAUGGAGGCCUUUUAAGCAUACAUACAUACAUGUAAAACGUUUUCGGACUAAUAAAAUGACUGAGAUCAACUGA